GUGCAGUGAUUUAUGAGAAAUAAUAUUAUUUUUAUAUGAGUAAGAGUAAUAAAGAUCUGAAGUAACAGGUGGAUGCAAUCAAUUUGUUUGCUUCGCUUUCUCGGUGCAUUGAAGGCGGAGAAAACAAAACAUGGCUCUUCUCUUUCUUUAUCUCCUGUCUCUGUGUCUCUCUCUGUGUUUCUCUGGGAUGAACGAGGAAGACGAAGACGACAGCGGCGAAGACAUCGCUCCCGCCAUCGCACCUCGCGUCCGAAUCCAUCAUUGGGAAACCCUAGGGUUCCGACGGUUGUUGUGACCAAGAACCCGGCACCGGCAAAAAUAGAAACAGAACCCCUAGGGUUUCGACGAAGACGAACUCCGGCAGUCGGACUCUGGCCGUCACGGUUAUUUGGAUUCGGUCUGAGAUAACCCCCAGCAGAUUAGCGUCGUCUAGGGCCAGUAAACGGCGGCGAUUCAGUUGUUAAUUUGACCGGUUCCGACGAGUAGGUGAGUGUUUGAUAUCUUUGGAAAAGAGUUGUUUUUUGGUAGUAGAGUUAAGAGUGUGUGGUGAGAGAGAGAGAGAGAGAAGCAUGGAUUAUUGGCAAUGGACACUGCCAUUUGCGGUCGAUUCGCUCCUUCCCCUCCUCUUCAUUCCAAUUCAGUUCUUUCAUACGUUUUGAUUCGAUGGUAUUUAAUUCGAGUUAGUUUCUUUUUAAACCAGCCGCAAUGAGGAAGGGAUUGGUACGUUUUCUUUAUCUUUUACUUGGUUCAACUUUCGAUAUAAAUUUUGCUCAAGAACCAUAUUUCUACGUU